GAUGAGAGUAUGCAUAUUUAUGACUCCCUGAGAAAGAGUGAAGAUGUGAACAUAUCAGACAAGUUUGGGAUAUGUGUAGAUGUGGGUCUUGAUACAGUGCCAAAGGUUAAAAGAUAUGUUGAAUUUAAACAGUUUAAACCUCAUUCUGGACCUCCAACUCUGCCAUCAUUUUCUACUUCCUCAACAAAGAAGAACAACACCUUAUCAGAUAUGGAGGUAAAAUCUGAAGCUAACAUUGACACAUUCUCUGGAGACAACAGAUGCUUAACACAAAUAGAGGUAUCUCCUGAUAGAAUUCAAAAAGUGAAGAGAUACAUUCACUUCAAACAGCCUGAACCUCAUUCCCCAACUCUGCCAUCAUCACCCUCCUUCACCAAAAAAGAUAAGCUAGAAGCAAAAAGUUAUAGCUCAUCUUCAGAUGAUGAUGCUCAGAGGACAACUAAACGUGACAAUUUAGAUGUAUCUUCUUAUGGAGUUUCAAAAGUAAAACGAUACAUUUCAUUUAAACAGCUUGAAUCUUCCUCCCCAACUCUGUCAGUAUCCACACCUUCAACUAAAAUUGAGACCACAACUGAGGAAGCAAUCAAAUCUUUGCAGUCAAGCACCACACCUAAAGAUUCAAGUCAAAAUGUGAAGAAAUAUGUGUAUUUUAAGCAGUAUAAACACCAUUCCUCAUCUCUGCCAUCAUCACCUACCUCUACCAGGAAAGGUUUAUCAGGAAAAAAGACUAAACGCAAAAAACAACAUGAUCAAGCAUAUUAUGGAAGUCAUGAUAGCCUGCCACUAUACCAUGUCCAUCCUGUCUAUAGGUCAAGUAUAAACAGACUGAAUAGAGGCUAUGAUACUGAUAGAUCAUCUUCCAGUGAAGAAGAAGAUACAUUUUUGGAGUAUCCAUCAAAAUUAGAGAUUACAAUAGCACCUGGGAUAAACAGAGGAUCCAUCCCACCAGAUAAAAACACAGACAAAGUUCUCAACAUUGACUUUGAUAACUCCUCCAGCAGCACAGAUGUAUUUGACAAGAAACAUUCUAAAGGUCUAAUGAGAUUAAGAGCAUUAAGUGCACG
rnacentral:lncRNA from 1 species